UGAAGAUAAUCAAUGUGAAUAAGCUAACAUCUACUGGUUGCCGCGUCAAAAUAUGGUUUGGCUUGUUUCCUAAUUUCCAAUUGGCCGAUGAAGAGCUCUCGGAGUACAAAAAGCACAGUUAUGGCAUGGCACCGAAGAGAAUUGAAUGCAGUUUUCUCAGCAGUGCCUGCCCUUGAGCUUUCAAUGUCCAAGGAGCAUCACAGAUUCCAUUGUGCACGAUGUAGAGUUCCGUGGCAUAUAGAAGGUGGUAAACUUCUUUUGGAGCUAAAUAGAGUAUUGAGUUGUGGCCAGCCAAACUGACCAAAGUGCCUUAUUGGUUGUCGAGUUCCCAAGUUGGAGUUUAUGGAAAGCCAGCCCCUCAAGAUUUCACUGCUGAUUAUGAACAUUGGAAACGUGUAAUGUCCAAGGCUUAUCUAGACGGGAUGGGAAUUAAAUGGUCAAAUGUACGCAAUGUCAUUGAUAUGAGAUCUAUCUAUGGAGGGAUCUCAUCUCAAGGGCGUAUGCUGGUUAUUGUAGCCUGCUGUACAAUUAAUUGUUGGGAUUAGUCAUGUAUCUUGGGUUUCUUUGCCUUUUUUCAUUGGUAG